UACGUAGGGGGCAAGCGUUGUCCGGAAUUAUUGGGCGUAAAGCGCGUGUAGGCGGUCCGGUAAGUCGGUUGUGAAAGUCCAGGGCUCAACCCUGGGAUGCCGACCGAUACUGUCGGACUAGAGUUCGGAAGAGGCGAGUGGAAUUCCCGGUGUAGCGGUGAAAUGCGCAGAUAUCGGGAGGAACACCAAUGGCGAAGGCAGCUCGCUGGGACGUUACUGACGCUGAGACGCGAAAGCUAGGGUAGCAAACGGG
rnacentral:rRNA from 1 species